rnacentral:rRNA from 1 species
UACGUAGGAGGCGAGCGUUAUCCGGAUUUAUUGGGCGUAAAGUGGGCGUAGGUGGUCUUUCAAGUCGGAUGUGAAAUCUCCUGGCUUAACUGGGAGGGGUCAUCCGAUACUGUUGGACUUGAGUAUGGCAGGGGAAAAUGGAAUUCCCGGUGUAGUGGUGAAAUGCGUAGAUAUCGGGAGGAACACCAGAGGCGAAGGCGAUUUUCCAGGCCAAAACUGACACUGAGGCCCGAAAGCGUGGGGAGCGAAC